UUACAAACUGCACGAUCUGAAAUGAUUGCUCUGGUGGUAGCAAUAAUCUGCUUGGCCAUUUCUGUGAUUGUGAAUAUCGUUUUAAUCUGUUACCGAACUUCAAGAGCAGCACAAGAACAAUUCACAGGAAUUGAAUUUACCUCAUCACAAACGAGACUUGAUAAUUUGAGCCAACCAGUGGUUGAUACUACUGAAAGUGGACAUGAUCUGAACUAUGCUGCGCUGCAUUUCUCUGGAAGGAAAGCUGCACGAGGAAAGGAGAAGAUGGACAUGAAGAUUGAGGAAAGUGUGUAUUCUCAAGUUAAAAGUCAAAUGUGAAUGUGAAUGUCCAUGAAAAACUUUCUAUUUUUUGACAAAAGACAAAGUUUCCUUGAUGCCAUCAGUGUACUGAAGCUUCACUUGUUGACAAACAGCCUGUUGGUUGACUGUGCUCCCUGAGAUGUUUACUUUCAGUACUUUCUCACAGUAGUUUCUGCUGAUAAUAACCUCAUGUCUGUCAGAAAAAGCUCCUCUACAGCUUAGAAAUAUGACAGUUCAAUUUUAUUCUUUUUUUAUUAUUUGUAACUUCUCAACAGGGUUAGGGUUACUACAAGCAGCAGCAUUCAGUUUGACUGUAGUGAAUAUGAGGACUGUGACAAAAGUUAAGGACAAUGAAUUGCUGUAUAACUUACAAUGUCAUUUGUAGUUCUCUGGUCAGGCCCAUGAAUAUCUUUAAUUGAAGGAUAUUUAAAUCUAAACCAGGUGAAUGGUUUAGGAAUUACAACACAUUUUAUAUGUGUCCUUGAUUUUUUUAAGGGACCAAAAAUAAUUGGACAAAGUAACAUAAUCAUAAAUCAAAUUCAUACUUUAAUAUUUGGUUGAAAAUCCUUUGCAGUCAAUGACAGCCUGAAGUCUUGAACCCAUAGACAUCAGCAGACGCUGGUUUUGGUCCCUGGUGAUGCUCUGCCAGGCCUCUACUGCUGCUGUCUUUAGUUCCUGCUUGCUCUUAUGGCAUUUUCCCUUCAGUUUUAUCUUCAGCCAGUGAAAUGCAUGCUUAACUGGAUUCAGGUCAGGUAGUUGACUUGGCCAUUGCAGAACAUUUCACUUCUUUGCCUUCAAAAACUCUUCAGUUACUUUAGCAGUAUGCUUCAGGUCAUUGUCUAUUUGCACCAUGAAGCACUGUCCAAUCAGUUCUGAAGCAUUUGGCUGAAUAUGAGCAGAUAAUGUUGGUUAAAACACUUCAAAAUUCAUCCUCCUGCUUUUGUCAGCAGUCACAUUAUCAAUAAAUAUAAGAGAACCAGUUCCACUGGCAGCAAUACAUGCCCACCCCCACCAUGGUUCACUGGUGAGAUGGUAUGCUGUGGAUCUUGAGCAGUUCCUCCCCUUCUCCAGAUUCUUUUCUUCAAUUCAAUUUUGUGACAAACUCUGAUCUGGCCUUCCUGUUUUUGGGCUCACCAAAGGUUUACACCUUGUGGUGAACCUUCUGUAUUCACUCUGGUGAAGUCUUAUUUAUGGACCUGACUGUGUGUAUUUAGUGUUUGGCACUUCACUCUUUUGUAUUUUUGGUUUUCCAUGUUUCUGUUUCCUUAGUUCACCUAGCCUGUAGCUUAGUUUGCAUGUUAAUUUACCUCAGUGCACUCCACUGGGUGGUUUGGUUAUUAGUAUUUUGAUCCCUGCACCUUUUUUCACCUGUA